GAAAUGUGAGUAAGGUAAUGUUGGUUUGUGGAUAGUGACUUACAUUUGUGCAUUUUUGUUACAAUUCCAACUACGCAUUUGUGAGUUUAAUGCUGUGUAGGAUUACAUGUGUAUUUAUGAAUCAUGGCUCACAUUUGUGAGUUGUAUGCUGUGAAUAGAAACAUCUCCAUACACUUGUUAUUUAUGAACUCCCUUUACCUGGUCAUUUAGGUCUUAAUUAAGGACUUUCCUCAUCUGGUUAACACUGAACUUUUUCCACAUCUGGUGCUGGGUAAAAUCAAAUGGAACAUAACUUGUGUACAGCCUUUUCAAACACAAGAAAAUGUAUGCUAUCAUAGUAAAAGGACACAUUUUACAUUACUCGAUGGAGGAAUACACUCUGGUUUGUUCCCCUCUUCCCAACUAGUUAUUAUACGUAUGAAAUGGAUGCUGGUUAUGUAAGAAUGGUCAGUAUUUUAUGUAUCAUCUUUUAUGGAAAUGUUCAGCUGUAAACUGAUCUGAUGUCAUUGAAUCCAUAACACCUAUAAGCAAUUCUACACUGUUCACGUCAAAGAACAUUGAACCUUACAAUAACACAGAGUGUACUGAGUAGAUAUUUAAGACACAUUGCAAUGCCACAGACACUUUCCAAUUCUACUGAAUGAUAUCAAUGCAGGUUGAGUGUCAGUGCCGACAAAAUAGUAUUCGUAACAAAUAGGACCUAAGUCAUAGGAUCAUGCUUGCAUUUCUUUUGGCCUAAUGUCUCAGUGUAACACAGUAGUAGAUUUUGCCAAUAGCUGCAAUAAACAGUAUAAUCCAAAUGGGUCAAUAUAGAUAUGCAAUGUAAACAAUUUUUUGUUUUAUAGCAAUGUAUUGUACUGUUACUUUAAAGUUUAUCUUUAACUGUGCUGACCCAAAAGGCAAUAGUGCUAAGAAUAAUGCAAAAUCCCUGAUUGAUGACAAUGCAUGAUUUACACCUAAGAUAAAGCUACAUGUACCUCAUAAGAAUUUGACCCAUAGAGAGUAUGUAAAAGUCUACACAUCCUAUUUAAGUCCACACAGAACAUAUUUUUUUCUUUUGUACCUAUUCAACAGUAUGUAGUAUGGUUCCCUCUCUGCAUGGUUGGUUGUGUCUAGAUACCAGGCUAGAUAUUUAGUUUAGAAUGCAUUCCCAAGAGACAUCCAUCUUCAGUCAGCAUGUUUGUACUGGUUGUCUUCCACACCUAAUUUGUGCCCCUGAAUGUGCUAGCAUUCUGUACUGUUUGUGUCAAGUGUAAAAUAUAGUUGUUACAUUCUCUAACCAUGAGCAAUAUUCAUGGUAAUCACUUGAAAGACUACCUUCCUUUUUUGUGAGAUGGGCAGUAAACAAAAGCAUGAAAGAGAGAACGUAACCACCAGUAUAUUAUGUAUGACUGAUUAUUUAAAGAAUUACCACAGAGAAAAAUCAGGAAACACUACUGAAUGUAAAAUAUCAUGUGGUCUUUCACAGAUCUCAACUACUGAAAUUAACAAAAAGCCUGUAUUGUAUUGCAAAGUAAUGUGUUUGAAAU
ensembl:lncRNA